UUGUGAGUAAGGUGCUACAGUGUGCGUAUAAGCACAGGGUUGCCCUGCUUGGGUAGCCAUGGGUAUCUAGUUAUAGUAAACAGUGCGUAUGCCUACGCCUAUACCGGAGCUAGCGGUAUCACCGAGGUGGAACGGUUCCCAUUAAUAGUAUAAGUCGGCUAGCAGAGCGAACAAACGUUUAUUUCAAUCGUAACACCCGCUGGAAGGGACUGUGCCGUGUAACAAUCAACAUUCACGCGGCUCAAGGUAUAUAAGGUAGCGAGGCGCAGCAAACUGACGGUAUAAGAAGGAAGCGAGCCGCCUCGUUGAAAUAGAUCCAUCGUGCAAACCAGCGUUCCCUAAUCUGACGAUGUUGCGUCAAGUACAGAUCUUUUUCCUAGUGGUGACGGUGGCAUAUGCAAUGAAAGGCAGUGGCCGUGGCCGUGGUCGGCGCGUGGAAACUACGGUUGCGCCCACGCAAGAAAUUAUGGACGUACAAGUUGGAGAAUUGCCUUGGA